GGAACCAGGCAGGACUCGUUUAGUGGUCACGGAGAGCGAACUCCCAAUCGACCCCUUCACUGAGAAGAGAUAUCAGUCUAUGACCUUGAGAUCCAGUUAAACAAACCUGAGAACCAUAUCUAUGAAAAUAACUUGCCCCUUACUCAGUUGAGAACAAACUCGGGUCACUAGACCGGUCUACAAGUGUUAAUCAAAGCCGCCCUCAACCUCAUGAGAUCAUAAGAUAACAUGAAGGGUUAAGGCUAAGAUUAACAAAAGUGGCUUCCCCCUACAUAUUUCACUUUAGAAGCUACAAUAAACUCAAACAUACAUAAAACUAUAAACUUCCUAGAAAUUAAACUAAGUUAUUACAACAUGCAUUCAAGCACACAAAUCAAAACCGAAACUUCCAAAAAUUAAAAAUACAAAUCGGCCAAAAUUAAUUACAAGCCGAAAACCAAUAAAUAAAUAAAAACUAUAUAUCUUCUUCGAUUCUUCUUGGCUUCCCCGGCAACGGCGCCAAAAAUUGACGUGUCGCGUAACCGGGGUCAAACAACUUCAAUUUAAUUACCCUGCAACCGUAGUAAUAUGGACAAGUAGGGAUCGUUCUAGCCGGGGAGACCAAAGGGCUAUCGAAAGAAGAGAAAUCAAACAACUUAUAAACAAGUAUUCACAUAUAUACAUCGAAAUAUUGGGGGGUUUGAGAUUGAUUAAUUCUAACAAAUAAUCUACUGAAAAUUAAACCUAAGAUUAUUAUAUACAAAUGAUCAACAUACUCAUGCAACACAUAACACGAAAAACCAUCAAGAACACAUAACAACUUCAUGCAAGGCCGGGCAGCAACGUUCAAAUUAUCCUAGACUCUAACCAAUUCCGAUUCUAAUUAGAGCCGUUGCGGUUAUCUAAUUGUUAAGACUCCUCAAGUAUUUAGAACCAUCUUUGCGCUUGAUCCUAAACAUGAAUGCUAACUCAUUUAAAGACACGUUGCGUAGAGAUUAAACAAGAAAACACUUUAGCACACGAGUCAAUCGGAACAUGAUCUAAGGCAUGGCGUCACUCAUCCAUUAGCAUGCAAAUUAUCAGAAUUAUAUCCGCC
rnacentral:lncRNA from 1 species